GGAAUACAGGAAACACAAAAGGUGAAUGGUGACAUUGCACCUUGAAGCAGAUAAAUGGUGAUUUUUACACUUGCACGUGUUCCUUUGUGGAAAUAUGACCCAAAUAUAAGGCCGACAACUUCUGCUACCUCUGUAUGGACUCCACUGCUCUGCUUAUUUGCACAGCAGUCCUGACAGCAGUGUAAACAUGAGUGCUUACUUUCAGUUCAAGAGGAGGGAGUUGUAGAAGAGCUUUAUGUUCAUUAGCCAGUCUGCAUCCAAACUGCUGUCUGAAGAGUAUCUCCAUCUCCAGACAUGUUUGCAGGGAGGUCCCUGCUGAGCCAUCUCCUGAAGGUUGCACUUAUUAUCUGCAGUGUUGGUAGGUGAGUAUUUGACAGGUAGUGGACUGCAUACACUGACUCCCUAAACAGCUUUCAGCAUGACAGCACCUUCAGGUUACUUCUAUCUCAGCUUCUCAGAAAAGACACUUCAUUUCUUGGAAAAUACCUGAAAACAAUCACAAUAGCUUCAACAGAAAAAAUCUUUAAAAUGUAUAAGGUGAGGAUUUUUUUGUUGUUGUUUUUGUUGUUUGUAUGUUGG
rnacentral:lncRNA from 14 species